rnacentral:rRNA from 1 species
AAUGAACGCUGGCGGCGUGCUUAACACAUGCAAGUCGAACGAGGCCAGGGGGGCAACUCCCUGAGUCGAGUGGCGGACGGGUGAGUAACACGUGGGUAACCUGCCCGGAAGUGGGGAAUACCUCGGGGAAACUCGAGCUAAUACCGCAUGACACCGUUGGGACGAGAGUCCCGAUGAUCAAAGCGGGGUCGCAAGAUCUCGCGCUACCGGAUGGGCCCGCGCCCGAUUAGCUAGUUGGUGGGGAACGGCUCACCAAGGCGACGAUCGGUAACCGGCCUGAGAGGGCGAUCGGUCACACCGGAACUGAGACACGGUCCGGACUCCUACGGGAGGCAGCAGUGGGGAAUCUUGCGCAAUGGGCGAAAGCCUGGCGCAGCAACGCCGCGUGGAGGAUGAAGGCCCUUGGGUU